AAUAUAUACAAAAUAUCAAGUGUACUUAAGGAUAUUAAAAUUAAAAAACAAACAUUUAAAAGAACGAAACCGAGUGUAAAAUUCAAUACAUAAUGUAUAUAUAUAUACGCGCGCGCGUAUGUGUUUGCAUGUGCGUGCAUGUGUAAAAUAAAAACAAGAAAGAAAAAAAAAACGACUUUACGAAAAAUUUAAGAAAAACGAGAAAAAAUCACGAAUUUACAAGCUGAAGAGAAGAAGCAGAAAAAUUAUUUUCUCUGUUCGCUGCCAAUUUUUGCCAAAGAAAUUUGAAAAGCUGUAAAAAGAUUCAAUAUUGAAACAAAAGUGUGAAAUAAUUCUUCUUCAAGAAUUCAGUUACUAAACACUGAAUAAAAUAAAGUUAAGCUCAGAGAGAGAGAGAGAGAGAGAGAGAGAGAGAGAGAUACAAACGCUGCACACAGAGAAAAAGAAGCAGAUCAUCAAUAUGAGUGCGAAAGUAUAAAUCAAGGGCAAGUGAGAGAAGCAACGAUACUCGCUAAGAAAGCGGAAAAGAGAGAACGAGAAAGAGAAAGAGAGCGAGAGAGAGAGAGAGAGAGAGGAAGUGGAAGAGGAAGAGGAAGAGCAAAAAAGAAAGGAACGGAAAGAGAGAAAUUGCAAAGCGAUUCCGAAAAAUGAGAAAUGAAAUAUUGUUGAAUAUAUAAUUUAAAAACUUAAAGGAAAAGGAAAUUAAAAACAGGAUUUUACAAACAUCUACUACCACUACUACCACUGCAACGCCGUCAUAUUGUAAUAACAAACAUCUCGUUAUUAUUAUUAUUAUUGAUUAUAAAAUAUUCCUUCAAAUUUUUUUAAACGUAAUUUAUCGAAAAAAAUUUUUUGGAAAUUUUCUUUUACCAAGAUCAACGGAAAUCCUAAUAUCCUAAUUCACGAUUUAUUGGCCCAUCUAAAGAAACACUAAUAGCUUUGCAACAGUCAAGCAAUGCAACUACUGACCAAACAGAGCAGCAUAAUUACGUUAACAUAACGUUGGAUUUUUCUUUGAUUAUAGGAGAACAUAUUCUAACCUAUUUAAAUAAUGGAAGCCUAAAGUCCCGCCACAACAACACUUUUUCCAUUUAAUUCAGUUGAAUUUUUUAAUGUUUUGAGAAUUUGAUUUAAUAUUUGAAAGUUUGAAUAAAUCCCCCAAGGAGUUCUCUCAUUUCUGCUAUACACCACCAACCACCACAGCCACCACCACCACCACCACCACAACCACCACCACCACUACCACAACCACUACCACUACUACUUCCAACAUAACUACCACCAUCAUCCCCAUUUAAAUAAGAAAUAAUAAGAAACGAUUACCAGGCCUCCUUAGCAACGUUAAUGAGAAAAUAUAUAUAUAUAUAUAUAAUUUAAUUGGUUUUGGAGAAUCAAAAAAGAAGCGUGUGAAGCUGCCGCAAAGUAAAGUAAAACUUUAAGCGGUUCAAGGUUCACUUGGAAUUGGGAAACGAAACGAAACGAAACUGGAAAAUUUUUCCCCAUUUGAAAUAAUAUCGAAUACGUGAAAAAUGUUGGUUCUAAAAUUGUGGUACAAUGGUCCAGAUAGUGUUACAAUAAAUAUGACAACUGACGGCAAUGCAUUCGUAACUGUAACGACAACUGGAAAUUACGCAAAACCUUUAUCUCCUGCUGUUGCACAUUUUACAGUAGACACAAAUCUUGCCUUUGCCACUUUCAACGAAGGUCUAGCAGCUUAUCAGGCUUUCCCUCCUGUUGAACAGCAAGCUUAAAGUGUUUACAAAAUAAUAUCAAUAAUAUUUGCAAUAAAUAUUAUCAUAUAACAGCAGUUCUCGGAGCUAUCUUCGGCAAAAAAAGAAAAAAAUAAAAAAUAAAAAAAAUAAAAAAAGAAACGACAGAAACAACAGAAACAACAACAAGAAGAAAAAUAAAAAAUAAAACGCAUAAACCAAGGCGACCACCUUCAGAAUAUCGUGGAAGUAUAUAAAAAAAA